rnacentral:rRNA from 1 species
UACGGGGGGAGCAAGCGUUGUUCGGAUUUACUGGGCGUAAAGGGCGCGUAGGCGGCCACUGCAAGUCAGUUGUGAAAUCUCCGGGCUUAACCCGGAAAGGUCAACUGAUACUGCAGGGCUAGAGUGCAGAAGGGGCAACUGGAAUUCUCGGUGUAGCGGUGAAAUGCGUAGAUAUCGAGAGGAACACCUGCGGCGAAGGCGGGUUGCUGGGCUGAUACUGACGCUGAGGCGCGAAAGCCAGGGGAGCGAACGGG